rnacentral:tRNA from 1 species
AUUAAAUGUCUGAUUUAAAGUAAUAAAUUGAAAAUUUAUAAAUGAAUUUAAUAAAUUUAAUUAUUAAUUAA